rnacentral:rRNA from 1 species
AUGCAGUCGAGCGGUAGCACGGGGGAGCUUGCUCCCUGGGUGACGAGCGGCGGACGGGUGAGUAAUGUCUGGGAAACUGCCUGAUGGAGGGGGAUAACUACUGGAAACGGUAGCUAAUACCGCAUAACGUCGCAAGACCAAAGAGGGGGACCUUCGGGCCUCUUGCCAUCAGAUGUGCCCAGAUGGGAUUAGCUAGUAGGUGGGGUAAUGGCUCACCUAGGCGACGAUCCCUAGCUGGUCUGAGAGGAUGACCAGCCACACUGGAACUGAGACACGGUCCAGACUCCUACGGGAGGCAGCAGUGGGGAAUAUUGCACAAUGGGCGCAAGCCUGAUGCAGCCAUGCCGCGUGUGUGAAGAAGGCCUUCGGGUUGUAAAGCACUUUCAGCGAGGAGGAAGGUGGUGAGCUUAAUACGCUCAUCAAUUGACGUUACUCGCAGAAGAAGCACCGGCUAACUCCGUGCCAGCAGCCGCGGUAAUACGGAGGGUGCAAGCGUUAAUCGGAAUUACUGGGCGUAAAGCGCACGCAGGCGGUUUGUUAAGUCAGAUGUGAAAUCCCCGGGCUCAACCUGGGAACUGCAUUUGAAACUGGCAAGCUAGAGUCUCGUAGAGGGGGGUAGAAUUCCAGGUGUAGCGGUGAAAUGCGUAGAGAUCUGGAGGAAUACCGGUGGCGAAGGCGGCCCCCUGGACGAAGACUGACGCUCAGGUGCGAAAGCGUGGGGGAGCAGACAGGAUUAGAUACCCUGGUAGUCCACGCUGUAAACGAUGUCGAUUUGGAGGUUGUGCCCUUGAGGCGUGGCUUCCGGAGCUAACGCGUUAAAUCGACCGCCUGGGGAGUACGGCCGCAAGGUUAAAACUCAAAUGAAUUGACGGGGGCCCGCACAAGCGGUGGAGCAUGUGGUUUAAUUCGAUGCAACGCGAAGAACCUUACCUACUCUUGACAUCCAGAGAACUUUCCAGAGAUGGAUUGGUGCCUUCGGGAACUCUGAGACAGGUGCUGCAUGGCUGUCGUCAGCUCGUGUUGUGAAAUGUUGGGUUAAGUCCCGCAACGAGCGCAACCCUUAUCCUUUGUUGCCAGCGGUUCGGCCGGGAACUCAAAGGAGACUGCCAGUGAUAAACUGGAGGAAGGUGGGGAUGACGUCAAGUCAUCAUGGCCCUUACGAGUAGGGCUACACACGUGCUACAAUGGCGUAUACAAAGAGAAGCGACCUCGCGAGAGCAAGCGGACCUCAUAAAGUACGUCGUAGUCCGGAUUGGAGUCUGCAACUCGACUCCAUGAAGUCGGAAUCGCUAGUAAUCGUAGAUCAGAAUGCUACGGUGAAUACGUUCCCGGGCCUUGUACACACCGCCCGUCACACCAUGGGAGUGGGUUGCAAAAGAAGUAGGUAGCUUAACCUUCGGGAGGGCGCU